rnacentral:rRNA from 1 species
CCCCUAGAUGUUCUGGGCCGCACGCGCGCUACACUGAACAGUUCAACAAGUCUUAACCUUGGCCGAUAGGUCUGGGUAAUCUUUGAACGCUGUUCGUGAUUGGGAUAGACCUUUGCAAUUAUGGGUCUUCAACGAGGAAUUCCUAGUAAACGCAAGUCAUCAGCUUGCAUUGAUUACGUCCCUGCCCUUUGUACACACCGCCCGUCGCACCUACCGAUUGAAUGGUCCGGUGGAAUCUCGGGACGGCGGCUUGGUCGCUUGCGUCCGACUGCUGAAACUUGAUUAAACCAUAUCAUUUAGAGGAAGGUGAAGUCGUANCA